CUUGAUGUUACAGAUGAGAAAAUCCUGCUGGGUUGCACUCGUUUGAGGCCACGAACACUACUCGCGGUGGAUGUUGCAGCUGAUCUUCGCAAUCCUGGUGCCAUUCGUGAACAGGGCAAAGAUGAGAAGACUGUGCAACUCGUCCGGUUGUGAGAAGAAGCUCCCGUGGUAAAGUGCCUAUCCUCGGAGUUGUGGUGCCGCGAAUAGUCACCCGAGCUGCAGUAUUCGCUUCCUAUUUGGCUCUCAACCUCAUUUUCUGACGAGGCAAGUGAGUUAACGGAGAAAUUAUCUAUGGUUGUUGACCCUGGUGCAGAUGAGUAUUCCUGAGAGGUUUCCUGCUCCGACCUUGCGUCGUCUGUGAUUUCCUCUUGUCUUUGAGUGUCUAUGUGAGGUGGGUUUCUGUGGAGGCUAUCAGAGUUUGAUACCUCUCUCAUGGAUUUUCCUAUGUGCACGAGGAUAGGGUCACUUCCAGGAGGUGAAGAAGCAUAGUUCGCAGUGGGUCUUUCUUUCCGAGGUGCCCCAUAUCCACUGUUUGAGGGGGUGGAAGGUGUAGAAUUUUGUCGAGAUCGAGGCACAGCUGGUGGUUGAUAUGCUUGAGACUUCUGCACCUGGAGUUACCAAACAAGGUGUUGUGAGAUUCCAAGAUAAAAUACCACUAACAGAGCUUUGUCUCCGAAGCAUAACACAGAGGUGUCCAAUAACAUUCCUAUGGAUGCAUAUGUACAACGUAAUCAGGACUGUAUAAUCAGAAUUUUACCUUUGACUCUAGGGAUAGAAUACCCUGCUUCAGAUUAGUUAGUGAGGUGUCCUUUUGCCUACAGAGUUCCUCCAGCAUAGCCGACCUCUGGGAAUGUCACACCCACAAACUCAGCUCAUUGAAGCUAAAUCUCCAUUCCUAAUCCAAGUGUAGCUGUUACAGGGUUCCACUUAAACAAAUCCAAACUGAAACUGGAUUACACAUGGGAGACUUUGAACUUGAGAACAUGACGGUUGACUCACAUCAACACUUGCGGCUUUGGCGGAUUUGACAGCCGCACAUUGUUUGUCAAGUUCGGCACCACAUUCCUUAUCCUCUUUCAGUUCCUCAAUUUCCUUGUUUUUGAUACCUAACAAAGCCUGUCACAAGUAUUUGUAAGAAAUAAGACUCCGUAAUUGCUUGGAACAUCAUCUCUGACUAACUUGGACUUGUGUUUACGUUAGACUUAUUGACUCCGAUGAUCCAAACCAUACUCGAUUCCUGCAUGGUGCACACAGUUGCAUUCAUCUAUUAAAUGUCGUAAAGUACCUUUUGUUCA